AUUGUAGGGCAUCGAUAGCUGAUUAAUUGCUGGUGCCAAUUGCUGAUUUCGCAAUUAUUUUUGAAUUUAAUUCGUAUUUUGGCUUAUUUCUCUUCUCAAUUAACGGCAAUAGCUUUUACAUUGCCGGCUAGGGAGAGAGCUCUCUCUCUCAAUCGAACGCCUCUCAAUUAUAGCGAAUAAGCGUAUGAAGCGCAUGGCCCGCACACAUGGGCCUUUGUGCCUGUAUGUGUGUGUGCAUGAAUGGAAUGGCGUGGAAUGGGAGGGAAAACAAAUUUGACAAUUGUACGCGCGCCACGAACGAAAUGAACAAAACAAAACUGAAACGGCAUUGCUUGUCGCCGGUUUUACUUUGAUGGAUUUAUGCGAAUCGGCAUGUGCAGAAAUUCAAACAGAGCGCGCGAAAAUAUCUAGAUGGUUUUAAAUGUGCCAGAUUACGCUGUCCCUCUCUUUCGCACCCACGGCCCCGGGGUAUAUACAAUCGUACAUAUCUAUCUAUAUGUAUACAUACAACUAAAUAUGUAUGUCCGUAAGUAAGUCGCCCUAUGCAUGUGUGCGUGUGUGUGUGUCUGUGCGAUUUGGUCUAUAUGCAAGUACAAAAUUUGAAAGUAACCCGCUUCUGGCGCAUUUUCCAUCCCCGUCCCCUGACCGCCGCCCGCCCCCUCCCCCGUGAUCAUCAACUUGGCAGAGGUCGAAGGGCAUCCGGAGCAAGGAGCAAGCCACCUAACCAAUCGCCAUCAUCAUUAAAGACCCCAAACCCCAACUAUCGCCGCACUUUAUGUUAUACAUACACGUGACCCUUUUCGAUAUCGAGUAAAUUAGCCAAUUCAUAUUUUUCAGUGCAAAGUAACAGAGUUAAGCAGAAAUUACUGAGGCAGUUGGGUCCUAUUAUCUCAAAAGUUCAUUCUAUAGGAUCAAAAGUUUAGAUACAAGAUACAUUUUUAAGAUUGAUCGCCGUCCUCGAAUGUAUUUAAAUGGAUUAUUAUUAGUUAUUAAUUACUUUUCGUGUAAUCAGAUGAUUUCGUGAAUUAAAAGAAAUUACGUAUCAGCUUCAAAACUUCAGUUGUUCGAGGACUUGCUCUAGAGAAUUUGGACUUCGAUCAAGAUUAAAGAUCCAUCUGUAUUGCUAUUGAUCAACAACUUUUCUUGACCAAAAAAUUUAAAUUUUUUAUCUAUUUGUUUGGUCAUUACUUGCAAAUUGUAAGCAAAAAUAAUUGUCUAUGUAAAUGUAUGUAAAUUGUGUAUGUAAAUUUUUCAGUUUCAAUUUAAAGAUCAGUCCUUCUAUUAUCUUUUCUUACAGUUUAAGUAUAUGUAAACAAAUUCAAAUUGAUUAUAUAAACCAUGUUUAAAUUCACAUAUCUAUGAUAAAAUGUAUACUACAAAAAAUAAAGAUAAAGAUCAUUUAAAAAAAUAUCACUACAUAUAUUAGGAUGUGAGUCACUGAUAUUUUUCCAAGUUGUAUGAUUCACGUAAAGUACAUGCUUGAAAAAUAAUGAAAAUAAUAAGUAAGUUAAUUUUAAACGACUUUAAA